rnacentral:rRNA from 1 species
GAUGAACGCUGGCGGCGUGCCUAACACAUGCAAGUCGAACGGAGAUUUAACGCUGACGAGACUUCGGCCAAAUCUUGUUAAAUCUUAGUGGCGGACGGGUGAGUAACGCGUGGGCAACCUGCCUCAUACUGGGGGAUAGCAGUUGGAAACGACUGAUAAUACCGCAUAAGCGCACGAGAUCGCAUGAUCUAGUGUGAAAAACUCCGGUGGUAUGAGAUGGGCCCGCGUCAGAUUAGCUAGUUGGUAAGGUAACGGCUUACCAAGGCGACGAUCUGUAGCCGGACUGAGAGGUCGGACGGCCACAUUGGGACUGAGACACGGCCCAAACUCCUACGGGAGGCAGCAGUGGGGGAUAUUGCACAAUGGAGGAAACUCUGAUGCAGCGACGCCGCGUGAGUGAAGAAGUAUUUCGGUAUGUAAAGCUCUAUCAGCAGGGAAGAAAGGCUCGUAAGAGAGAUGACGUAC